rnacentral:rRNA from 1 species
GACGAACGCUGGCGGCGUGCCUAAUACAUGCAAGUAGAACGCACAGUCUAUACCGUAGCUUGCUACACCAUAGACUGUGAGUUGCGAACGGGUGAGUAACGCGUAGGUAACCUGCCUGGUAGCGGGGGGAAACUAUUGGAAACGCUAGCUAAUACCGCAUAAUAUUGAUUAUUGCAUGGUAAUUGAUUGAAAGAUGCUAUUGCAUCACUACCAGAUGGCCCUGCGGUGUAUUAGGUUGUAGGUGAGGUAAAGGCUCGCCUAGGGGACGAAACAUAGCCGACCUGAGAGGGCGGUCAGCCGCCCUGGGACUGUGACAGGGCCCAGACUCCUUCGGGAAGGAGCAGGAGGGAAACGUCGGCAAUGGGCGAAAGUCUGACCGCGCAGCGCCGAGGGAGUGAAGAAGGUUGUCGGGUCGGAAAUCUCGGUUGUAAGGGUAGAACGGGUGUUAGAGUGGAAAGUUCAGUCUGUGACGGUAUCGUAUCAGGAAGCACCGGCUAACUACGUG